UGUGACGGAGGCGCCCACGUGCUCGGCCCGCCCGUGUUACGGCCGCCUACCGGCUGCAGAGGAGAAGGGAGGAAAGGGUGGAAUCUCAACACAAGUGGUAGGCAACUUUGAAAACAAUAAAUAGAUGAAGAAUGGAGAGACCUCAAAAGGAGAGUCUGGGAACCCUAGCCAAAGGCUAUAAUGUGGUAAAAUCGUGGGGACUUAAUUCCAUCAUAUGGAGGUUACUGAAUGUAUCAGAGACAGCCUGCAGUUCAUCACCACACAAAUUAGGAGCAACGUAAGAAGAGAAAAAGAAAAAGGAAUUACAGAUUAAAAAAUGCAAGAGAAUAUAAACAAAUAAAAAUAUGUUCAACUGGAAUUUGUAUUGGGAUUGUAUUAAAUGGAUGAACUAAUUUGUGAAGAAAUGAUAUCAUUCCAUCCAAGA
rnacentral:lncRNA from 1 species